rnacentral:lncRNA from 10 species
CUCAUGUAAGAAGAACAUCUGUCUUGGGCUAGGAGGAGCACAGGAAGAUGCCUUUAUCUCAAGAGCUAGGAAAUAAGGCAACUGUAUUAAAUUGUCAAGGGAGGACAGCAGACCAACAAGGAUGAAGAAGCUUGAAAAAUUCUUCAUUGCAGGGGUCCACUCAUUGUCUCUAAUGAUUUGCUGCUCCUCAAAAGAAUGUCUACACUCCCGAUCGCCCCUUUUGCCAUGAGAAAAGGUUGAUUUUCACUGAACCUUCAGAGGGUGAAGAGGAAGCUUUUCCUUGACUUCUACACAGGCUGGAAAUAAAUAACCUCCGCUUAGGACACCCCUGGCAGGGGCUUUCCAAACCACUUCCAACCCUGGAGAGAAAGAUAAUG